rnacentral:tRNA from 1 species
UUAGUUGAAGCCAAAAAGAGGCAUAUCACUGUUAAUGAUAAUAAUGAAAAAUUAUUUCCAACUAAG